rnacentral:rRNA from 1 species
GACGUAGGUGGCGAACGUUAUCCGGAAUUAUUGGGCGUAAAGGGUGCGUAGGCGGCAUGAUAAGUUAUUGGCGGCAAAUCGAGGCUCAACCUCGUGGAAACUAAUAAUACUGUCUUGCUUGAGUGCAGAAGAGGUUAACGGAACUCCAUGUGGAGCGGUAAAAUGUGUAGAUAUAUGGAGGAACAUCAAUAACGGCGAAGGCAGUUAACUAUUCUGUUACUGACGUUGAGGCACGAAAGCGUGGGGAGCAAAAAGG